rnacentral:rRNA from 1 species
CCUGGAAACAGAUGCUAAUACCGGAUAACAACAGAUGAUGCCUAUCAACUGUUUAAAAGAUGGUUCUGCUAUCACUCUUGGAUGGACCCGCGGUGCAUUAGCUAGUUGGUAGGGUAACGGCCUACCAAGGCGAUGAUGCAUAGCCGAGUUGAGAGACUGAUCGGCCACAUUGGGACUGAGACACGGCCCAAACUCCUACGGGAGGCAGCAGUC